GAUGAACGCUGGCGGCGUGCCUAAUACAUGCAAGUCGAACGAACAGGUGAUGAGCUUGCGCCUCGGACGUUAGCGGCGGGCGUGUGAGUAACACGUGUAUAACCUACCUAUAAUUGGGGUAUAUCUUCGGGAAACCGGAUCUAACACGGUAUGAGAUCUUGAAGCGCGGUGGGGGAUGGUGAGAUACGGUGGUUCGGGCAGUUAUCGAGGGAUACGCGCUGCAUUAGCUAGUUGGGAAGGUAACGGCUUACCAAGGCAACGAUGCGUAGCCGACCUGAGAGGGUGAUAGGCCACCCUGGAACUGAGACACGGUCCAGACUCCUACGGGAGGCAGCAGUAGGGAAUCUUCCGCAAUGGGCGAAAGCCUGACGGAGCAACGCCGCGUGAGUGAUGAAGGUCUUCGGAUCGUAAAACUCUGUUAUUAGGGAAGAACAAAUGUGUAAGUAAAUAUGCACGUCUUGACGGUACCUAAUCAGAAAGCAACGGCUAACUACGUG
rnacentral:rRNA from 1 species